GAUGUAGGGUCCAAGCGUUGUCCGGAUUUACUGGGCGUAAAGAGCGCGUAGGCGGCUCGGUAAGUGUGAAGUGAAAUCUCCAGGGCUCAACCCGGAAACUGCUUUACAUACUGUCGAGCUGGAGUGAUGAAGAGGUUUGUGGAAUUCCUGGUGUAGCGGUGAAAUGCGUUGAUAUCAGGAGGAACACCCAUGGCGAAGGCAGCAAACUGGUCAUCAACUGACGCUGAGGCGCGAAAGCUAGGGUAGCAAACGGG
rnacentral:rRNA from 1 species